CCCUGUCACCGCGCUGCCAUCGGUGUCACACCCGGUGUCACACUGCCACGCUCCCGGUGUCACACUCAGUGUCACACUCAGUGUCACACUCCCAGCGUCACACUCCCCAUGUCACACUCGCUGUCACCCCCGGCCAUCGCUGCCAUUCUCCCGGUGUCACACUCGGUGUCACACACUCAGUGUCACACUCGCUGUCACACUCACUUGUCACCCCCAUGCCAUCGCUGCCAUGUUCCUGGUGUCACACUCGGUGUCACGCUCUCGGUGUCACACUCAGUGUCACACUCCCUGUCACACUCAGUGUCACACUCCCCAUGUCGCACUCACUGCCACCCUCCCUGUGUCACACUCCCUGUCACACACUCGCUGUCACCCCCCUGCCAUCGCUGCCACCCUCAGUGUCCCCCCUGCCCCCCACGGGUGCCACCCGCCCUGUCCCCAUGGCUGUCCCC
rnacentral:lncRNA from 1 species